AAGAGUCCGGCAAAGUCGUCGAAAUCAAACAGGAAAAAGCCGAACCUGCCACCAGCACGCAACAGCAGUCUCAAAAAUCUGGAAUGAAACCGCCACCGGAAAAAAGACCAAGAUUGAUGGCCUAAUUUGUGAUAGAAAAAAUUAUACAUUAAAUUAGUGGCCAUAAUUAGAAUUCCUAUUCAGAACACUCUGUAGAUGUAACCAAUAAACAGAUUGAAAUCAAAAUUUGUAUACACACCAUGAAAAGGAUGCGGAAAAAGAUUUUACAGAGAAUUCCAAUCUCCAGAAGCGCAAGUUUGAUAAAAAGGGAGAUAAUGACACCCAUUCCAUAAAAAACCUGCAAAAAUAUCGAACAGAAGAUACUUUAGACUUGAAAAAAUACAAUUUUAAGUCGGAGUAAGUAUCAUUUUCCUUAAUUAACUGAUGGAUGGGAGUUAGGGAGGAGGUUGCACGUGGCAUUUACACACUUAAAGGUGGUCCCCCUAUAAGCAAUUAAUCGAUGAAAGUUGAGUUUACCUUAUACGUGGAGAGGAAGAUGGAGAGAGGGAGAUUGGCGGCGUGGAUGUUUAAUGAAAUAAACCAUGCAAUCUUCUUCGAUAACAAUGAAAGCUUGUAGGAAUGCGAGGCAUUGAUUUGUAAUUUUCAUCGAUUUUUCUUUGAUGUUUUCGGGAAGGUUAAACGCAGUUGGCAUCGUUCCAAACUUGACUACACCAUGCGACUUAACAAAUUGACGUUUUGCAAAAGAAUCUUUGUGUAAGCAAAGAGAUCAAUCCUUGCUAUGUUUUGAUGCCAUACAAACGUAUAAAUAUAUGAGAAAAUUAAAGAUAUCUUUGCACUUUCUGACCCAUUAAAACUCCUUUACGUGUAAUGAAUCCCCGAUGACUUUUCCCUUCUCCUUUUCGACUCUUAACUGAUGCAGAAUUAAGAGAGGAAGAGUCAUAAAGGUCGUUUACGUCUCGUUCCUCCAUCUGACAUUUUUCUUACACAGUUAACAAUGAAGCUAAUAAUGCCCUUUCGCGGAAGAAACAAGAGAGAGAGAGUUUUAGAAAAUCAUAUUAAUUAAUUAUUAAUUUAUAUAUUAGAUUGGGAUGAUGAUGACAAUUUAAUUAAGUGAGGAAAUCGAGCAAUUUUUGUUUUGUCUCAUCUUCUGCAGAGGAAAGGAAAAAAUUCCUUUCUUUAUCCAAUCGCUAACAUGUGGCGCCCUUAAUUCCUAAUAUUGUGACAAAAGAUGGAUGUCCUAUAAUGCUAAAGGUAUGA